GCAGCGGCCCUCGCCUAUUGGCGGCGGCGGUGACGCGCGGCAGGCCGGGCUGAGGAAGCGGAGCGAAGAGAUUACUUGCGGUGGCAGCGGGGCUGGUGCGAAUCGUUUUCCCUCCACCCGAAACUCCACACCCCCUCUGCCUCGCACAAAGGCGGGAGUGGGGUGCCUCUUGUGCCGUGUUCCCGAAGCUUGUCUUUGCGUGGCGCUCGCUGUCCCGCUUACCUGGCUGGCAGCAGGGCGGGGGUAGGAGCGACGGGACGCGGUGCGGCUCUAGCGGGCUCACCCAGCUCUCGCGGUCCGCUGCUGCUGCCGUUAGCGAGACUGUUACGGGCAAGGUUCCUGCGGUGGCGAGCUUAAGUACCCCUGAGAAAAGAUGCUACAAAGCCAGUAGGGUGGUGGCAAGUGCUGGUGUGCCAUGGGCUGCCUUUGCGGGGAGCUUGGCUGUGCAUCGGACGCGUUAGCAGAGCGGUCCUGCCGGUAUCGCUGAGGCCUGGUCCUGUCGGGGCUUGCUGCGGGGUGCUCCCGCAGGGCAGAUACCAUAAGGGAGAAAUCAAAAACCUUUAUCGGGUGUACUUUAUUCGUGCAUUCGUUCGUUGUGAUUUUCUUGGGAGAAAGUGUGAUUGGGUGCUGAAUUAUAACACCAGAUGCUCGAUAAAAGCUUCUCUAAGAAACAAUAAAAAUAUGCUGAAAUUGGAUGAGCAAUCCUGGUUGUGAGC